CCUACGGGAGGCAGCAGUGGGGAAUCUUGCGCAAUGGGCGAAAGCCUGACGCAGCGACGCCGCGUGUGGGAAGAAGGCCUUCGGGUUGUAAACCACUUUCAGAAGGGACGAAGCCACUCGGGUGAAUAGCCCAGAGGGUGACGGUACUUUCAGAAGAAGCCCCGGCUAACUACGUGCCAGCAGCCGCGGUAAUACGUAGGGGGCAAGCGUUGUCCGGAUUUAUUGGGCGUAAAGCGCGUGUAGGUGGCCAUACAGGUCCGUUGUGAAAACUCCAGGCUCAACUUGGAGACGUCGAUGGAAACCGUAUGGCUAGAGUCCGGAAGAGGAGACUGGAAUUCCUGGUGUAGCGGUGAAAUGCGCAGAUAUCAGGAAGAACACCCGUGGCGAAGGCGGGUCUCUGGGACGGUACUGACACUGAGACGCGAAAGCGUGGGGAGCGAACAGGAUUAGAUACCCUAGUAGUC
rnacentral:rRNA from 1 species